CCAAAGAGUGAUCCUGGACUGACUGCAGGAAGAUCAUUGAUACCUAUGGAGGUUGGGGAUCCCAUGGUGGAGGUGCAUUCUGUGGAAAAGAUCCCUUCAAAGUUGAUUAUUCUGCAGCACAUGCAGCUCAGUGGAUUGCAAAAUCUUCAGUGAAAGCUGAUAUCUGUGAAAGAGUAUUAAUCCAGCUCAUUGCCAUCAGAGUGGUGGUUCCCAGACACUUUCCUUGA
rnacentral:lncRNA from 1 species